rnacentral:rRNA from 1 species
GACGAACGCUGGCGGCGUGCCUAAUACAUGCAAGUUGAGCGCUGAAGGUUGGUACUUGUACCAACUGGAUGAGCAGCGAACGGGUGAGUAACGCGUGGGGAAUCUGCCUUUGAGCGGGGGACAACAUUUGGAAACGAAUGCUAAUACCGCAUAAAAACUUUAAACACAAGUUUUAAGUUUGAAAGAUGCAAUUGCAUCACUCAAAGAUGAUCCCGCGUUGUAUUAGCUAGUUGGUGAGGCAAAGGCUCACCAAGGCGAUGAUACAUAGCCGACCUGAGAGGGUGGUCGGCCACAUUGGGACUGAGACACGGCCCAAACUCCUACGGGAGGCAGCAGUAGGGAAUCUUCGGCAAUGGACGAAAGUCUGACCGAGCAACGCCGCGUGAGUGAAGAAGGUUUUCGGAUCGUAAAACUCUGUUGGUAGAGAAGAACGUUGGUGAGAGUGGAAAGCUCAUCAAGUGACGGUAACUACCCAGAAAGGGACGGCUAACUACGUG